ACCAUGGCAAAUCAGUCAACAUCCGGUUUUAGGUUCCCUCCUGGCUCAAGAUUCCUGAGGGGCUUGUGGAGAUCAGCUGCUUUGGAGGGCGACGUGUUCCAAGGGAGACCCUCGGCUCUUACUCGACAGUUGAACUGGAGUGUUGACCUAGAAGUCCCCCCAGCAAAAAAACACGGAGAAGUCCCCCACAAACCUGGCUUGGGGAAUGGGAAAGCUUACCGUGCCUGCGCCAGAAGCAGAAAUCCCCGCCAGAGGCAGGGACCUCCGCCACACGUAGGAGGUUCAGGCAGUAGACACCUGCUGGCCUCCAAAUGAGUCUGCAUCACAACUGGAUAGAGCCCUUGGAUGAACCACCAGUCUGGAAUGGGCAGUGGAGAGCCACCGGUCAUCUGCUGGCCCUCCAUCCUGAGAUAACAGCUCAGAGCCUCCUCCAGGAGGCAUGUGGUGAGGGAGUAAGAGGCGUCCACAAGGCCUCAGCACAGAUUCUUCCAAAUCUGCACCACAGCGUUCACCUUGGUGAAGGACCAACCUCCCCAACCCUGAAUGCCAGCAACAUCUUCCACCUGGAAGCAUUAGCCAUCUCCAUGAUUAGUCACUCUGUUUGGCUGAUGAAGACCACUCACAUCUGUAGGAUGGGUGCUGUGGUUAUACCCUCUGGGUUGGAAUCCAAGGACUACCAGGACACUGAGUGACCUGCAGCAAGUCACCUUCCUCUCUGAGCCUCAGUUUUCCUCAUCUGUAAAAUGGAGAUCAGAAGCCUAUCCAUAGGGUUUAUGUGAGCUAAAUAAGGUGACAUACGUUAAGUGCUCAGCACACUGCCUGGCCCAUAGCCAGCAGGCAAUAGAUGUAAGCUAAUUAUUACCUUCCAAAAAACUCUUCUUGAGAUCCAAAAUACCUUCUCACCUAUUAUUUAAGUGAGGAGGACAGAGCGAAUGUCCUCAUUUCACAGAUGGGGAAACAUGGGGUUCAGUGACAUCCCCAAGGUCACACGGUUGAUGGGCAGAAGCCAGGAGAUCCAACUCUUAGCCCAGGAGCCUCCUCUGUAGGUCUGCUCUUUAAAUCACCUGUGAGGCUCAUCUGGAGGGAACAGAGGUGCUGCACCCAAAGCACUGAGCCUGGGGGGAGCAGGAAGGCCACUUUUAUGUCAGUGGGGUUGUAAUCUGUUACGACACUGGGCAGGAGGAAAGGGAAAUUGAGGCUUAACCUAUUUGCCCAAACAAAGAGGAAGUGGAUGGUCUGGGUGCCCAAGCUCUGGGGGAGGGAAAAGGCCUUUAUCACCCUGGGCAGCCCAUCCUGACCAUGGCGGUGGAGUUGCAGCUGCUCCAGAGGGUUUCCCUGAGUUCUAGAGCUGCAUUAAAGCCCAAGCUUUGGGCUUUGGCAGCCUGCCUCUGGGGCCACAUCCUAGGUGUGAUUGGGGGCAGGGGUUGAACUGUUUCCUCUUCUAAAAGUGGGGCUGUUGUUCCAAGGCUAAAAUGAAGUAAUGCAUGCAGAAUGCUUAGCACCGUGCACAGAACAUUGCUGUUGCAGAAGACCGAGUGUCCCUCAGCUUUGGAGCAUUGACAUUCCAUUUGACCAAAGAAGAGUUUUUAGCAAAAGAGAUGGCUUUCUAGAGUGAAUCUGAGGAAACAAGCACAUGGCCUGAUGUGCUGAGGGGGAAGAGUGUUUCCUUCCCACUGCGAAGAGGACUGAAAUCUGGGAAUGGCGGAUGAGCUCCUGUUCAAAGGCCGAGACCGUCCCCAAGGUGGAGUCUGCCCUUUUUACCACCUGGCCAUGGGUAUCCAUAGCUGGCAGAGUGUGUCUGGGUGAAGAGAAACAGUAUGACCACUCCUCUAACCGGGCAUCCUGAGGCCCGGAAAUCCUCCUUACUCCAAAAUUAAACCUUUCUUCACUUGUCACUUCAACCCUGCCCUCAUUCUGCUCAGGACCCCUCUUUUGGUAAGGAAUCACGUUCAGCUGCUGGAACAGAGACCUGGUGACAGUGGCCUAAACACACAGGGUGAAUUCUUUCAUAUCCAGGAAGUAAGGAGGUAGAUGGGAAGUUCAGGCUGGCAUGGUGGCUCCACAGUCUUCAGGGUCCUGGGCUUCCUCGGCUUUUCUGCUUUACCCUCCACACUGUGUGACUUCCAUCCUCAGUGUCGCCUCAUGCUCCAAAGAUGGGCUGCAGGAGCUCCAACCAUCACAUUCACAAUCCAGGCUGACGCCUGGACUCAGUACAAAGGAAGAGAGGAAGAGCCAAAAGGCUCACAGCCCAGCCAACUCAUCUUCCUUUAAACCAGUUACAUCUGAUUGGCCAGAAAUUAGUAAUUUAACUGAAUGUAGCUGGAGAAAGGGCUGGGAAAUAUAGUCUUUAAUUUUAGUGCAUUGUAGCCUUCCACCCUCCCUUCAAAUAAAAUCCAGUCCCCACUGGGGCCUUGUAUAGAAGAAGGAAGGUUGGCCCUUUUCAAAUUCACCAAUGACACCAUAGAGGCCAGUAGUAGCCCUAGAAGUGAGGA